UACGGAGGGGGCUAGCGUUGUUCGGAAUUACUGGGCGUAAAGCGCACGUAGGCGGCUUUGUAAGUUAGAGGUGAAAGCCCGGAGCUCAACUCCGGAACUGCCUUUAAGACUGCAUCGCUUGAACGUCGGAGAGGUAAGUGGAAUUCCGAAUGUAGAGGUGAAAUUCGUAGAUAUUCGGAAGAACACCAGUGGCGAAGGCGACUUACUGGACGACUGUUGACGCUGAGGUGCGAAAGCGUGGGGAGCAAACAGG
rnacentral:rRNA from 1 species